UGGGGAAUAUUGCGCAAUGGGGGAAACCCUGACGCAGCGACGCCGCGUGGGCGAUGAAGGCCUUCGGGUCGUAAAGCCCUGUCGAGCGGGACGAAACGCGUGAGCUCUAACAUAGCUCACGUUUGACGGUACCGCUAGAGGAAGCCCCGGCUAACUCCGUGCCAGCAGCCGCGGUAAUACGGAGGGGGCUAGCGUUAUUCGGAAUUAUUGGGCGUAAAGGGCGUGUAGGCGGCUUCGUAAGUCUCAUUGUGAAAGCCCUCGGCUCAACCGAGGAACUGCAUGGGAAACUGCGGAGCUUGAGUCCGGGAGAGGAGAGCGGAAUUCCCAGUGUAGCGGUGAAAUGCGUAGAUAUUGGGAGGAACACCGGUGGCGAAGGCGGCUCUCUGGACCGGUACUGACGCUGAGACGCGAAAGCUAGGGGAGCAAACGG
rnacentral:rRNA from 1 species